rnacentral:rRNA from 1 species
GACGUAGGGCGCGAGCGUUGUCCGGAUUUAUUGGGCGUAAAGAGCUCGUAGGCGGCUUGUCGCGUCGUCCGUGAAAACUCACAGCUCAACUGUGGGCGUGCGGGCGAUACGGGCAGACUGGAGUACUGCAGGGGAGACUGGAAUUCCUGGUGUAGCGGUGGAAUGCGCAGAUAUCAGGAGGAACACCGGUGGCGAAGGCGGGUCUCUGGGCAGUAACUGACGCUGAGGAGCGAAAGCGUGGGGAGCGAACAGG